rnacentral:rRNA from 1 species
UACAGAGGGGGCAAGCGUUAUUCGGAAUUAUUGGGCGUAAAGGGCGCGUAGGCGGCAUGGCAAGUGGAAGGUGAAAUCCCUCGGCUUAACCGAGGAACUGCCCUCCAAACUGCUUUGCUUGAGGCCGGGAGAGGUGAGUGGAAUUCCCAGUGUAGCGGUGAAAUGCGUAGAUAUUGGGAGGAACACCAGUGGCGAAGGCGGCUCACUGGACCGGUACUGACGCUGAGGUGCGAAAGCGUGGGGAGCAAACAGG